rnacentral:rRNA from 1 species
AACGGCCUGGCGCAUACUACAAUGCAGUCGAGCGAAUGGAUUAUAAGAUUUGUGUCUUAUGAAGUUGGCGACGGACGGAUGAGUGACACGUGGGUAACCUGCCCAUUUUACUGGGAUAAUUCCGGGAAACCGGGGCUAAUACCGGAUAACAUUUUGUACCGCAGGGUUCGAAAUUGAUUGGCGGCUUCCGCUGUCGAUUGAGGAUGGACCCGCGUCGCAAUAUCUAGUUGGAGAGGUAACGGCUCGCCACGGUCCCGAUGCGUACCCAACCUGAGAGGGUGAUCGGCCACACUGAGACUGAGACCCGACCCAUACUCCUAGGGGAGGCGGCAAUAAGGAAUCUUCGGCAGUGGACCAGAGUCUGACGGAGCACCGGCGCGAGAAUGAUGAUCGCUUUCGGGUCGUAUUUUUCUGUUGUUAAGGAAGAACCAGUGCUAAUUGAAUAGGCUGGACCCUUGACGGUACCUAACCAGAAGGCCACUUCUAGCUACCUGCCACCAGCCGCGGAAAUACGUAAGUGGUACGCGUAAUCCGGAAUUAUAGGGCGUAAAGCGCGCGCAGGUGGUUUCUUAUGUCUGAUGUGAGAGCCCACGGCUCAAACGUGGAGGGACAUUGGACACUGGGAGACUUGAAUGCAGAAGAGGAAUGUGGAAUUUAUGUGUAGCGGUGAAAUGCGUAGAGAUAACGACGAACACCAGUGCCGAAAGCUACUUUCUGGUCUGUACCUGACACUGAAGCGCGAAAGCGUGGAGAGCAUUAGAUACUAUAUAACUGAUACUCCACACCAUACACAAUGAGUGCUAAGUGUUAUAGGGUUUCCGCCCUUUAGUGCUGAAGUUAACGCAUUACGCACUCCGCCUACGGAGUACAGACGCAAGCUGAAACUCAUUGACAUUUGACCGCGCCCGCACAGAGUAUGUAGCUUGUGUCUUAUGUUACGACGCAACACCCUUAACCUUACUAGGUCUUGACAUACUCUGCAAACCUAGAUUGUAUGCCUUCCUCCAUCUCGAGCACAGUGACUGGAUGUGCAUCGUCUGUCUCUCAGCUCGUGUCGUGAGAUGUUAGGUCUUAGUCCCAGCACGAGCGUAGUCCUAGAUCGUCAGUAGCCAUCUGUUAGGUAGGUCUAUCGUAAGCUGACUGCGCUGAACAGACCGAGAGGUGAUGAUACGUCAUUCAUCACGCUCCCUGUAUGAGCCUGGCUACCUACUGCAUAGCAAUGAGUACGAUGACUGCCGACACCGGAAUUGCAUCUCUAUCUCACACACACUCGUCUCUCCCGGAUAUUGAAGUAUGUAUAGC